GUGGGGAAUUUUGGACAAUGGGGGCAACCCUGAUCCAGCCAUUCCGCGUGAGUGAAGAAGGCCUUCGGGUUGUAAAGCUCUUUCGGCAGGAACGAAACGGUGAGCUCUAACAUAGCUCGCUAAUGACGGUACCUGAAGAAGAAGCACCGGCUAACUACGUGCCAGCAGCCGCGGUAAUACGUAGGGUGUGAGCGUUAAUCGGAAUUACUGGGCGUAAAGCGUGCGCAGGCGGUUGUGUAAGACAGGUGUGAAAUCCCCGGGAUUAACCUGGGAACUGCGCUUGUGACUGCACGGCUAGAGUAUGGCAGAGGGGGGUGGAAUUCCACGUGUAGCAGUGAAAUGCGUAGAGAUGUGGAGGAACACCGAUGGCGAAGGCAGCCCCCUGGGACAAUACUGACGCUCAUGCACGAAAGCGUGGGGAGCAAACAGGAUUAGAUACCCGAGUAGUCC
rnacentral:rRNA from 1 species